rnacentral:rRNA from 1 species
UACGUAGGGGGCUAGCGUUGUCCGGAAUCAUUGGGCGUAAAGAGCGUGUAGGCGGUCCGGUAAGUCCGUUGUGAAAGUCAGGGGCUCAACCCUUGAAUGCCGGCGGAUACUGUCGGGCUAGAGUCCGGAAGAGGCAAGUGGAAUUCCCGGUGUAGCGGUGAAAUGCGCAGAUAUCGGGAGGAACACCUAUGGCGAAGGCAGCUUGCUGGGACGGUACUGACGCUGAGACGCGAAGGCGUGGGGAGCGAACAGG